rnacentral:rRNA from 1 species
UACGGAGGGUGCAAGCGUUAAUCGGAAUUACUGGGCGUAAAGCGUGCGUAGGCGGUUCGUUAAGUCUGUUGUGAAAGCCCCCGGGCUCAACCUGGGAAUGGCAAUGGAUACUGGCGAGCUAGAGUGUGUCAGAGGAUGGUGGAAUUCCCGGUGUAGCGGUGAAAAUGCGUAGAGAUCGGAAGGAACACCAGUGGCGAAAGCGGCUUCCUGGUCCAGCACCGACGUUCAGGCACGAAAGCGUGGGGAGCAAACAGG